CAGUCUCAGACAGGACACAGCAUGGACAUGAGGGUCCCCGUGCAGCUCCUGGGGCUCCUGUUGCUCUGGCUCCGAGGUGCCAGAUGUGACAUCCAGAUGACCCAGUCUCCAUCCUCCCUGUCUGCGUCUGUAGGAGACAGAGUCACCAUCACUUGCCGGGCGAGUCAAAGCAUUAACAAGGAGUUAGACUGGUAUCAGCAGAAACCAGGGAAAGCCCCUACACUCCUGAUCUAUGCUGCCUCCAGUUUGCAGACGGGGGUCUCAUCGCGGUUCAGCGGCAGUGGAUCUGGGACAGAUUUCACUCUCACCAUCAGCAGCCUGCAGCCUGAAGAUGUUGCAACUUAUUACUGUCAACAGGAUUAUACUACCCCGUCCACAGUGUUACAAGCCAUAACAAAAACCCCCAGGGAAGCAGAUGUUCAGAACAUUGGAAGCUCCUUAGCCUUGUAUCAGCGGAAACCUGGGGAGGCUCCCUGGCUUCUCAUCUAUGGUGCAUCCAGCAGGGCCACUGGCAUCCCAGAGGGGUUCAGUGGUCAUGGGUCGGAGACAGACUUUACUGUCACCAUCAGCUGCCUGGAGCCUGAAGAUUUUGCCCUUCUUUGUCUUUUUUGA